UAGUUGUUUGAGCAUUUUGUUUCUCUAAUUCUUAGUACUUUCUUCUUAGAAUCAAUGAAGGAAUUGAUUAUGAAGAAAGGUUUGAAAUCAAAUUGGAUUAGUUGAUUGGACCGGUUGGAUCGUUGAUCAGAAGAAGAAACAAAAACAGUUUAUCAAAAAACUAUUUUGCGAUUUCAAUUGGGUUAACUCACAGUCCAACCGGAUGUUCGUCAACGGUUCACGAUUAAAUCUGGUUCAAUUACCUGUCAACAAUCAUUUUAAUAAAAAAAUAACUUAAAAAACAAAAACUUCUAUAGAACGGAAACGUCACCUCUUUCUUUUUGUAUAAAAGGUUAAGAAUAACUAUUAACAUUGUUUGCCUUAACGCCUUUACACCAUAGCUAGAGAGCAGGCUUCUUCAGUUCUUCCCCUACCAGGCACGAACACAAACCUUCGCCAAAAUUCCAAGUCUUCAAUUUCGAUUCCACGCAUAUCUUUAAUCGGUUUCUCUCAGAAGUUGAAAUGCCAAUUUCUUGAUGACGAAAGCUAUCGAGUGACGAAGAUAGCGAUUGGAAAUUUGGUAUCACCUGUGACGACUUUCGGUGACGAUUAAUGAGUUCCGACGACGUAGAUUGUUAUCUAUGAUCGAUUAUUCCCACGAUAAAGGCGAUCAUUUUGUGGUUUUUGUUUUAAUUUGCAUGCUUAAGGAACCAGAUACUUUUUAAGAACGGGACAAUCCGUUGACAAUUUUUUGUUCUGGAGUCUCACAGCUCCUGUUGCUUCUUCAUUAUUUUCGUAAAGAUUGAAGCACAUUAUUACUGCUAAAACAGUUAGUUGACUUUUCUUCAUUUCACGACUUUUCUUCAUUUCACCUCUUUCCUCAAUGUGUUGAUUAUUUUGCCUUAAUUGAUUGAGCCCACUGUCUGUUAUCAAGAAAUGAGCUUUAGUAAUAAACUUGAUACCCAAUUGGGUGCUUGCAAACUUUUGGAGUUAUGAAGUUCAAUUUGCUUAAAGCCAUGGUUGUGAGUAAUUAGAUUAAACGUAGAAAGUUAAAUAAUGGAAUUGGAUUAUGUCAAUAUUGCUAGAUCGGUUAUUGAGAUCUUUUGGUAUCAAUUGAUUUAUCAAUAGAACGCUUAGACAAGAAGCCAAAUUUUUUGCUUUAUAUUUAAUUCAGUCUUCUCUUAGCUAUGGUUUAGUUAUUAUUUCAUUUUCUUCUUUACAACUAUAUGAAUCAAUGACAAACAUAUUAGUUUUGGUAUAUUCCCAUCUCCGAUUUCCUUUUUAAGCAUCUUCAGCGAAUCAGUUGGCUUUAUAGUUUAGAGUUAAGGUAAACCUUUUGCAUCUUUAUGUAUAAUAGACUAGUUGAACGGGGGAGGUGCUCUGCAUUUGGAAGGUCAAGGAAUCCACUUAUCUUUUUUAUGGUGAAAUUAAUUCACAUGCAUCAUAAGUUUGACAUGGACACAUGUCUUGUAUGUUUAAGUGCUUUUACCUUUUUAUGCAUUAAAAUAUUUUGUUCUUCAAGAUGUCCUCUAUUUUUGUUUCGAAAAAUUGAUUUUCACUUUUUUUUUUUUUUGGUAACCGAGGUGUCCGGGCCAGCUUACGCGCACCUCGACUAAUCCUCGGGGCUCAUUGAAUACCCGACUAACCCAAUGAACCGGGUAAAUUUCACCACUUUCGUGAGAUCGGUGGCCCCAAGGCUCGAACUCAGGAAGUCAGUGAAGGGAGCACACCUUCCUGACCACCCUGCCAACCCUCGGGGUUAAUUGAUUUUCACUUUGUGUUAUGAAUAAAUUGUUUUCUUCUCAGAUGUAUAUGAAUUUAUUUUUAGUUUGCCAAAGUAAUUUGUUAGGGAAAGAGUUUAUGUAAGGAAAAAGAGGAAGAAGAGAGACGCAAAAGAAUUGGCACGUGGCAAAAUUUCAGAGGAGAGACAAGCAACAGGCAAAGUAGCAGACAAAGAGGAAAUACCAAUUUGCAGACAACCACAAUUUGGGACCACUAUGACUGUCAAUACUGAGGUGGCAGCUGGGGAAAAGGCAGAGGCGGUUAGAAUACAGAAUUAAAGAAAGGAGGCAGAAGAAGAGAAUGAGGAGGAGAAAUCAGAAAGCAAAGAAGAGGAGGAGAGCCCAACCUCUCGAAUGCUGGUGAUGGAGCCCUGAGCUUAAGUUUCUUUAGUGUUUAGUUUCCAGAUUUUAGCUUUAUUAUUGAACUGAUUUGUAAAAAGAUUAGAGCUCUUGUUAUUUCCGUGGAUGUUAUAUUUUAAUAUAUCAUGGAUACAUUCUGAAA